GAUUAGCUAGUUGGUGAGGUAAAGGCUUACCAAGGCGACGAUCCGUAGCUGGUCUGAGAGGACGACCAGCCACACUGGGACUGAGACACGGCCCAGACUCCUACGGGAGGCAGCAGUGGGGAAUUUUGGACAAUGGGGGCAACCCUGAUCCAGCAAUGCCGCGUGUGUGAAGAAGGCCUUCGGGUUGUAAAGCACUUUUGUUCGGGAAGAAAACGUUAGGGUAAAUAAUCUUAAUGGAUGACGGUACCGGAAGAAUAAGCACCGGCUAACUACGUGCCAGCAGCCGCGGUAAUACGUAGGGUGCAAGCGUUAAUCGGAAUUAUUGGGCGUAAAGGGUGCGUAGGCGGUUUGUUAAGACGGAUGUGAAAUCCCUGGGCUCAACCUGGGAACUGCAUACGUGACUGGC
rnacentral:rRNA from 1 species